AGAGAUUUUGUAAGUUAAUAGACAUGGAAGAUGAGCAGGGCGGCGGCGGUAGUAGUAGUAACUUGGAUACAGGAAAGGCGGACAGAUCAGUGUGGCUGAUGAAGUGCCCGUUGCUAGUCGCUAAGUCAUGGCAGUCUCAUCCUCCAUCUGAUCCUCUCCCUCUCGCUAAGGUCAUUCUUUCUCUCGAUCCUCUUCAAUCCGACGAAUCCUCUUCUCUACAGUUCAAGAUGGAGAUGGCUGGAACUGAGACUGGAAACGUGCCAAAAAGUUUUUCCCUAAAUAUGUUUAAAGACUUUGUUCCAAUGUGUGUCUUUUCA
rnacentral:misc_RNA from 1 species